rnacentral:lncRNA from 1 species
CGUACGGAAUUCUGUGUUUUUAAUUUUUAUAUAUGCAUAAAAUAUAUAUAUCAUUAAUACUGUAUUCGGUAUAAUAUAUGAGAAGAUACAUGACACUUUUAACCUGUUAAAAAUUGCUGUAUAUAGCCUGCCUAAGGUUUAUUUUGUUUCACACUUGCAAGAUUUAGUGUGAUGAUAGUUUUCUCUGCAGUUGAAGAUUUUUUUUUGUCCUUCCUUAUCACUGUCAACUAAUGAAUAAGUUUUUUGAUCUAUUUGCAAAUGUUUCCUGGAUGUAAGAAAAUGAUUUGCAGAUAUACCAGUCCUUCCCGUCUGAAAAGAAAUGCAAAUUUCUUUUCAGACAUGGGAAAUGGUUCACGCAUUUGUGGUUGAUGUAACCUCAACCCCAUUGAAUUCUUUUAUUUGCCACAACCCAAGACUGUCAGUGUUUGGCCCAAACACUGACAGUCUUAACAUGCAAGCCUGUUGGUUUUUGGACCAAACACUGACAGUCUUAACAUGUAAGUAUUGGGAUGUGGUUAAUUUUAGAAUGCAAUGGGGAUGUAUUUCAUUUACAUGAAUACUGACAGUCUCAACAAAUGCCGUUUAUUAUUUAUUGCUUAUGAGGUUACACAACAUUUUUUACUCUUUUGCCUAUAGUUUAUCAAUACUUUUAACUGAUUAUAUAUUUGAGAAUAUAACAAGUGCAAGCAGCUUCAUUAAGUUAAUGUGUAAAGUUAUUUUAUUAGGUUUCAUUAUAUAAUUUUUGAAGAUAUAUGUGAAAAUUAACAGCUUUGUAUUGCUUGUACUGAAAAUUUAUGAACAUAUUUUAGUAAAGCCCUAAAAAUUUAUGUAAUAAUUAUUCAUAAUUAUGAUUAUAUGUAUAGUUUUUAUUAAAAUCUCAUGUGCAGCAAAUUAUAAAGGCAAGUUCUUGUGAAAAAAAAUAUUUUUUAUGUCUCAAAGAAGGAAAUUGUAUUCUUUCUGAAUUUAUUUAAAAUACACAUGAAAUUUAAUAUUUAAUGAAAAUGUUUAUGGAAAAAUAACUCAUGUUUUCAUAUAAUAGUAUUUUUUCGAAGUUUUAAAGACUGAAUUUAUGUAUAGUUCUUCCUAUGUCUUUAAGAAUUUCUUAAUAAAGAUAUGUAAAAUGAACUGUAUUUAUUUCUGUUUCAUCAAAAUUUAUUCAGUUUUAUCAAAAUAAUUAUUUGUGAAACAUACUUUUGGAAUCUUUGGAUUUAAAUCUGUUGAAAAAUAUUUAUCUGUAUUAAUCACGAGUUAUUUCAUUAUAAUAUAGUUUUUGCAUUGCAUCAGACUGAUAUAAUUGUCAUAUUUAUGUGAUUAAAUCUCAAGUACUUUGAAGUGAACAUACGAGAUAUUUGCAGGUUCUUAAAUGAGAAAGCUUAGGAUAUGCAAAAUGUAUAUAAGCAUAAUUUGCAUUAAGACGUAGUUAUGUAACAUAAAAGCUUGUCACCUUAAAAGUUGCAAAUUUGAGCCUAUUGCCACCCAUUAUAAUCACUACAGUUCUUAAAUUCUGAUGCCUUCAGAUUUUGCUACCACCUUUGGCCUAUCUUCCAAAAAUAUUGUAUCGUAAUAUAUAUUACAGUGAGUGCUGAUACGAUUGCAGAUAAUAUAGAGUUAAAAGUAUACAUAAAAAGUUUUAAAUACUCAGUAGAAAGUAUACAGUGAUAUAUCAGCACAAAUGCAAUCACAGAUUUUAUAUUUUUGCUUAAGGUAAUACCUAUUUUGUAUGUAGAAUAAUUUUUGUAAGAAAUUAUUUAUUCAUUUUAAAUGUUAUUUUUUCUACAAACUUUGUUCUUCCAUUUUCAUUUUGGAUUACCAAGAAAGCAUGCAAAUGCUAUUUAACUGAUAUAUGUACUGACAAGCUUUUCUAUACUACAAUCUUAAGUCUCAAAGCAAGCAAGUACUAAAUUCAGCAGUCCAAGACCUCUGACUGUUUUAUUUAUGAAAAAUAUAACUAGUGUUAUUUUCAAUUUUAUCUGGUUUUUUAAAAAUUCAUUAUCAAGUUUCCAGUACUUUUAAAAUUCUAAUUUGAAAUUACGGUUUGUAUCAUGUUACUUUUUUAAUCCUCAGUCUGAAGACAUGUAAUUAAAUUUAUAAAUUUGAAUAUAUCCAAUUAAUAGUUAAAAUAGCAAGAAUUAUGAAUGAUUUGAAUAUGGCAAAAAAUGGCUUAUUAUUACUUUGCAAAGACUUGGGACCCAGAAUAAUUUUACUAGUUGACAGACUGUUAACCUGAAAAAGUGAUUGACAAUUUUCAGUUUUGCUUCACUACAUAGUAAUGAUGCAAAAGCAUAUGAAGUUUAAAUCAAGGGGCUUUAAAUACAUUCUUUGCUAACAUAUUAAAUAUAAAGCAGAAUUUAAAAAAUGUUUUAUAUAAUUAUUUUGCUUGUUUAUGAAAUUUAUUGAAUAUAUUUUAAUUAUUGCUUCUAAUAAAAUCUUAAAAAAUCCAUACGAAGCUUCAAGGGAAAUUAAUGAUAUAAUUUUUCUGUUCUGUAAUAAAAUAUUUCCACAAUACCAUAUAUAAUUAGAAUUUACCAACUAGAAUGUUACUAAUGUAUCGGGAUUGUGCAUAUUUCUGCGAGAUUCAGAACAAUAAACAGUAUAGAGACAUAAAAUUUUUUACUUUAUUCAUUAUUUAAAUUAUAUGAGAAAAUUAUACAAUUUAUUACUACUGUAUUAUUUGGUAUAUAUACUGAUUGUCAAACAUUAACAAGAAUCAAUUUUUAAAAUAUGAAAGCUCUUCAGGAUCACAAGUUCAGUGAAUUUCAUGUAACUUAAAUUGUAACAAAUUUAUGCAAUAUAUUUUAAUAAAUAAUAUACUUUUAAUUUCCA